AGUGAACGCUGGCGGCGUGCUUAACACAUGCAAGUCGAACGAGAACGGAAUAUAGCUUGCUAUAUUUGUCAGCUAAGUGGCGCACGGGUGAGUAAUGUAUAGAUAACCUGCCCUUAAGAAAGGAAUAACAGUUGGAAACGACUGCUAAUGCCCUAUAUGCCUUUAAUACAUAAGUAUGCAAGGGAAACGCUUUAGUGCUUAAGGAUGGGUCUGUAUGGUAUCAGCUUGUUGGUGAGAUAAUGGCUCACCAAGGCUAUGACGCCUAACUGGUUUGAGAGGACGACCAGUCACACUGGAACUGCGACACGGUCCAGACUCCGACGGGAGGCAGCAGUGGGGAAUAUUGCACAAUGGACGAAAGUCUGAUGCAGCAACGCCGCGUGGAGGAUGACACAUUUCGGUGCGUAAACUCCUUUUAUAUAGGAAGAUAAUGACGGUACUAUAUGAAUAAGCACCGGCUAACUCCGUGCCAGCAGCCGCGGUAA
rnacentral:rRNA from 1 species